UCAACAUAAUAAUGCUAAGACAUUUACAUUAAUUACAUUUACAGGCAAGAACAUUUACCUAUUUAGUUUUAAAAUUUUUGCAUUGAACAGUUAGUAGGAACUACAAUUUUAUAUUAUUAUCGUCUAUGAAAGAUCCAAGCGAGUAGACUACCUUUUUACUGGGGAAAGUUAAUAGUGCAUUUUGUCUAGCCAUUACACCCCACAGCCACGGCAAAAAUUUUUUUUCGCAAGUCUAAUACUAGAGUAGACGUUUUUUUUUGGAUCGCCGUCCUCUUUUCGUUGCCAUAAAUCAAGUUUUUCCCGUAAAAUUAUUUAAAAUAUUUAACGAUUUUCAAAAACUAACCUAAACUUCGAAAUCGUUUAUUGUAAACAAACUCGUUUCCAAACGUUCGCCAAAUACAAUCGAAAUAAAUUUAUGGAAACAUCUCAAGGGCAAUCAGUGAGAUAGCUUGAUUAAAAAGGCCUAAAGCGCGAGUCUAUCCGUCGAGACGUCCAGAUAUGCGAACUGGUUUGUCAGGUAGACCUACUGCCAAGUUUGAGGAAUGUAAAACGAAAGAAAAACAUUGCGGGGACGACGCAAAUAUCGCUCACCCUUCUCCCCGGCUAUGCGACGAUGUGCCGAAAAUAUAAUUCCUAUUUUGGUACGUAAUCCUUUCCUUCCUAAUAUUUCCGUAUUUCAAUUUUUGCAGUAGAACGUAAUAACGGAUUUAAAUUUGAAAAAAAAAAGUUUUUUUUUUUCAAGCAUUAUACAUAAAAGCGUAGCCAGAGAGGGGGAAGAGGUCGACCGAAGAAGACAUGGAUGGAGUGUGUGAAUGACGAUAUGAGAGAGAGAGGAGUGAGUGUUGAGAUGACGGCUGAUAGAAGAGAAUGGAAGAGAAAAAUUAGCUGUGCCGACCCCACAUAGUGGGAUAAGGUGGAGAAAAAGAAGAAGACAUAAAAGCGUAGCCAAUGUAAACCGCUCUUAAUCGUUACCUAAUUAAUUAUGGGUAUUGUUAACUUUUGUUAUGGAAGCGUGAGUCGAACUCAAACAAACUUCGAACAAUCGAACAAGUUCUUACUUCACUUCAACAAUUCAUAAAGUGAACAUAAUUUUAUUUUAUUUACUGGUGGUAGGAACUCUUGUGAGUCCGCACGGGUAGGUACCACAACGCCUAUUUCUGCCGUGAAACAGUAAUGCGUUUCGGUUUGAAGGGUGGGAUAGCCAUUGUAACUAUGCUGAGACCUUAGAACGUAUAUCUCAAGAUGAGUGGCGCAGUUACGUUAUAGAUGUCUAUGGGCUCCAGUAACCAGUUAACACCAGCUAUGAAGCUCGUCCACCCAUCUAAGCUAUAAAAAAAAACAUAAAUAUUAUGUCGAAACUAGUGUUAAAUGAGUAAUUAGUGGCUAAGCCCGGACGGAGUUUAGCACUAGAACCUACGCAGGUUCCGAGGGACAACUGCGCGCGCAUUCACAUCGAUCUUCAAACUCAACUCCCCGAUCAGAUCCCCCUCUCGUCUCCCGCCUCCCACAGCCUGACACGUGUAGGAAGAUGCCACAUCGCCCACAUCUUUUUGAUUACUGAUUUUGUUACGUAGAAACGUAUUACGCUUCGCCGAACUGUUUAUUUCUGAAUUAAUAUCCACGAAAUGUAUUUAGAGCAGUUAAUAAACAUAGUAUUUUGGGUUAAUACUAUUUGUUAAUUCAACAAAAAUUUCAUGGAAUUCACUUUUAUUCAUUGAUGUCUAAGAGUUUCUAGAUUCGUACUAGUGAUUAAAUAAUUUUCGAGAUUUACUAAUAGGUUAAGUAUUAUAAAUGUUAUCAAAGGAUAAAUGGCUACUGAUGGCGAACAUGUCGGUUGGCAACGAAAUUCUCAAGAGUCGAGCGACUAGUUUUUGUGAGCCGGUGUUACAUCAGAUCUGCCUCGAGCAAAACGCCCAGUCAUCAGCCCCUGGGUUAUUAUCAAAAUGAAUUUGACUAACAGCAAUUUUAAAUACAGAAUUUAAAAAAAAAAUGUCUUGUUUCAAUUACUUUAUAAGCCUUAAUUUGUGUUAGAAACAGGAAAUCGUGAAAUCACAAUAUGUUUAUAAUACUAUCAUGGGAUAUCAGUACUAAUGGAAUUUAUGGAGACUUAUUGCAAAGUAGUUUGUGUAAUAAAGGAAGAAGUAUUCCUGGAGAACAUGGCGGAGUUAUCGUUCACGUACAUAAAUAGGGAGUGGAAAUGGGCCCGGACAGGAAGGCGGGCGGGAGAGGGGCGAUGCAGCUGCCGGUGCAUCACUAGCCCCGCGUCCCGUGCCGCGCCGCGCCGGCCCAUUGCCAAGUUCAAUGCCAAGGUCAUGCGCGCGCGAGUGCGGCUGCGCGCCGCAAUGCAGGAGCGGCCGGCGACAGGCGUCCACCUCACCGUCAGUUCCUCACCGACGACCGCGCCACACACCGCAUCGCCUGAACUACACGCGUUCCAGCGGCUCACCUAAUAAAUACCUAUUAAAGUACUAUAAUCACAGCGACGCGGUAGUCGGUAGCAGAUUAUUGCGUGAACCAAUCGAUGACGGUCGCGCUCAAAUCGCGAUGAUUUCAGGUGAACCGUUGUAAAUGGCGGUGCAAGGCGAUGCGAUGGUCACACCGCGAUAUUGUUCUCAGAUGUGACGAGCUCUGAACAUUACGAAGUUCCUCCGGCUGUGCCACGACAACUACGUGUCCACUUUACAAUCAGAACAACACGCGCAAAAGUAAUCUACCUAGAACAAGAUAUGAUUGAACUGAAGGAUUCCAGGAUCGGUAAGUAAAACACAACAGCGGAUUUGGCUGUGUGCGUAUCUCAAGGUCACGGUCGAUACGUGCUUCAGGGGCGCCAGCCCAACCAACCCGAACCCAUCCACGCCGAAAGUUACUAGGGGUGUUAAAAGCGCAAAAAGGAUUGAUAGUAAAAAUAUAUCAAUGAAAAAAAAA